rnacentral:lncRNA from 1 species
CCCAGCUCCUUCUAUAGACAGAAGCACAAAGCCCUCCCUGGACCGCCUUGCUCCCCCCUUUGAAAGAGAGAGCCCAGCUGCAGCUUUUACUAUUUUCAGGGAAGAAGCCAAGCAUUCCUGAAAAGCCUCUGGUUUCACAGCUAAGGUAAGAGUUUUCCCUCUGGAAAUGGUCCUCUCAGUGCCAAUAUUCCCCAGUUAGUUCUCAAUAAGCAGCUUUUUGCCUUUAUUUCAUCCUCUUGCUCCUGCUUUAGGUCCCUGGGGGAACAGCUGGCAAUGAUGCCCAAACCUCCUGUCCCACCAAGUGACAGAUAUGAAAGAGGCAACCCCCCUCCCUUAAGGAAGCAAAGCCCUGGAAAGCAGAGUUGGCCACCACACAAAAAAAAUGAAGUAAGUGUAGUCUCAAAGCACAUAUUUAAAAUAUAUGGACUCCAAUGAAAUUAAGUGCCUGUAUUAACUAAUCAUUCUGGACGAGGUAAACUUGUUUCUUUUAUCAGUUGUAAAGAACACUCCUGGAUCUUUUGCAGCACAUGGGGUGUUUUUAAGCAUUUCUUCUGUGUCAAGCUCAUAUUCCCUUAGUACUUCAUCUUAGAUAAGGGAAGAAUAAAACCAGAUUAUUUUUUUUUAUACA